rnacentral:tRNA from 1 species
AGGCGAUUAGCUCAGGUGGUUAGAGCGCACCUCUGAUAAGGGUGAGGUCCCAGGUUCGAGUCCUGGAUCGCCUACCA